rnacentral:rRNA from 1 species
CGUAGGCACCAAGCGUUGUCCGGAUUUAUUGGGCGUAAAGAGCUCGUAGGCGGUUCAGUAAGUCGGGUGUGAAAACUCUGGGCUUAACCCAGAGACGCCACUCGAUACUAUUGUGACUAGAGUUCGGUAGGGGAGCGGGGAAUUCCUAGUGUAGCGGUGAAAUGCGCAGAUAUUAGGAGGAACACCGGUGGCGAAGGCGCCGCUCUGGGCCGAUACUGACGCUGAGGAGCGAAAGCGUGGGUAGCAAACAGGAUUAGAUACCCUGGUAGUCCACGCCGUAAACGGUGGGCACUAGGUGUGGGUUCCAACCAACGGAAUCCGCGCCGUCGCUAACGCAUUAAGUGCCCCGCCUGGGGAGUACGGCCGCAAGGUUA